AACGAACGCUGGCGGCAUGCCUAACACAUGCAAGUCGAACGAGACCUUCGGGUCUAGUGGCGCACGGGUGCGUAACGCGUGGGAACCUGCCCUUAGGUUCGGAAUAACUCCCCGAAGGGGGUGCUAAUGCCGGAUAAUGUCUUCGGACCAAAGAUUUAUCGCCUGUGGAUGGGCCCGUGUUGGAUUAGCUGGUUGGUAGGGUAAAAGCCUACCAAGGCGACGAUGCUUAGCUGGUCUGAGAGGAUGAUCCGCCACACUGGGACUGAGACCCGGCCCAGACUCCUACGGGACGCAGCAGUGGGGAAUACUGGACAAUGGGGGAAAGCCUGACACAGCAACGCCGCGUGAGUGAUGAAGGCCUUAGGGUUGUAAAGCUCUUUGACACGGGAUGAUAAUGACAGUACCGGGAGAAUAAGCUCCGGCUAACUCCGUG
rnacentral:rRNA from 1 species